UGGAGCCGUCUAAGGUGAGGCUCGUGAUUGGGACUAAGUCGUAACAAGGUAGCCGUACCGGAAGGUGCGGCUGGAUCACCUCCUUU
rnacentral:rRNA from 1 species